UAGGAUACGGGCCAGCUUUUUUGAUUCGGCUGUCCUAUAGUCGUAAACGUUCCAGCUGUGAUCAUCUCGUGUAAAGCACCAAAUGGUACAGAACAAAUUAAACAGUUCAUGAAAAUACUAAGAAGGCGUGGUAGCUGUUGUUAAUUGGUCAAGCACAAGAUUUGGAGCCCAUGGAACAUAUACACAGAAAUAAUAUUUGGUAUUUGGAAGCUGUGCACAGUAUCUAGUACCAGACCCAAGAUGGAAGUUAUCAACACUGCAGUGCGUUUAGGAAAUGAUGAAGAUGACGAUGAUGACGAAGACGACAACGAAUAAGUUAAUUUUUAUAGUGGUUGAUCAGGUCAACUUUUAUUUGGAAUAGAACUUACAGUUGUUCUGUUUCGCAGAAACAUUCAAGAGACACAUCAUCUAGCGGGUGAAACGAAGCCAAAUUUGUAACGUGAGAUAUUUUAUCGCGUGUACCGAUUUUUUCAAAAUGGUGGUCUUAAAAAGCAGUCUUUGUCUUCAAAUACAAAUACAAAUACAUACAUACAUACAUACAUACAUACAUACAUACAUACAUACAUACAUACAUAGGUAGGGAUAUUACGAGAUGGUAAGAAAGAAGGAGAGAUAAGAGGAGGGAGAUAUAGCUAUUUCGAAAGAUACAAGGCUUUAAAUAUGGGGGAACAAAUAGAUGUAGGAACUGACAGAUAGAUAGAUAGAUAGAUAGAUAGAUAGAUAGAUAGAUAAAGAGAUAUGAAAAUGGAUAUUUUAAAUGUGCAUGUAUGUAAGAGGAUCUUUUCAGAUAAAUAUCCUGUCAAAAGCUCUUACAAUAUGCUCACUACGUUCUUUUUCUUCUUUAUGUGCCACAAGCACUUCGGAUGUGGGAUUUCCUAUUUUCACGAAAGAGCAUAAUUAUGAUAGGAAAUAGGGCGCUUGAUUGACUAAGCUGAACAGUAUUAGGUGGAGCUCAUUAAAUUCGAUUCUAGAGCUGAAACCAAUACAAGAGAGAGUAAAUCCCAAGCAGUAACGUUAGCUCGGCAUUCAAUAUAAAGUAGCAGUGAAGUGCUGCGAUCGAUGGUUUGCCUAAUCUCCUUCUCUCAAAACUGCAGAUCUUGUGCCUAAAUCAGAAACAAGCUUCAGGAUCGUUUGUACGACGGGCAAAAUACUUAGCGGCAUAUAUUCUGGCAUUAUGUUUUGUGCUUAGAUUCCGCUGAGGUCGUCUUAGGCAUUCAACGCUGUGGGGUCGAUAAAAUAAGUACCAGUUGAGCACUGGGGUCGAUAUACUCGACUAAUCACCUCUUCUAAAAUUUCAAACCUUGUGCCUUUAGUAGAAAGGAUUAUUAUUACUACCUUAUUAGAGUUAUCUACCCCUUCAUAUGCUCAUAGAUCUUAAAUGCCUCCACAAAGCCAUUUGUCUACAAAUUGCCCGAAUAAGAUAUAUUAAUUCAAGUUUUUCAACUGACUGUAUCACAUAAACGAGCCACUAAAGUAUGGGUAUUUAGUAUACAGAAUGAUUCCCUAAGGUAUUUUCCAUCAGCCACAUUGUCGAUUGUUGAUCUUAUCAGUUUUUCGACUUUGCAUCUCUCAAUCCUCAUGUAUUCUUAUUUUCUGUGUCUAAAGCUAUGGAUCUCUUUACAGUUAGGUAGAGCGAGGCAGUAUGUAUAGAAUGUCUUGGUCACAGACAUAUACAAAGCAUUGCUUGUAGUAGUUCAACAUUUAACUCGGCUAAUACCUCUCCCUCUCACUCUCUCCAUAUAUAUAUGUGUGUGUGUGUGUGUGUGUGUGUGUGUGUGUCUUUUCGUCUCUCUAUAUGUCUCCUUUGCGUUAUGAUGGUUCUGAAAUAUUUCUGAGUUAUGCUGUCACACAGGCUCGGAGAUUAUGAAUAAUGCAACUGAUUAUCUAGUGGUUCAUGAAACAUCAUAACAAAGAGUCAAAGUCCCAUAAAAGCAUUGAUCUCUAUCAGAACUAAGACACAUUUCUACAUGCAUAAAACAUAACUACUAAGUCCCAUAAACCAACAUCAGAUAUAAGUAAAAUGGUGUUGCUAACAAGUCGACACACCAGUUGACGGAAAUCGAUAUGCACAACGCGUAGUUUUCUAUUAUUAUUAUUAUUAUUAUUAUCAUUAUUAUUAUUAUUAUUAUUAUUAUCAUUAUUAUUAUUAUUGCUGUUGUUAUUAUUAUUAUUAUUAUUAACGUUAUCAUUAUCAUUCUAUUUAUUGGUUUUGCUAUUUUUUGUUGCAAUCGUUAAUUUUGUCUUUUUUUGUUCGAUCUUAAUUCUCCACUGCAUUUGUCUUUCGUACUUCUCUUGUUUCCAAACUCUUGUGCCCUUGUGGUUAAUAAAAGAAAUUAUUAUUAUUAUUAUUAUUAUUAUUAUUAUUAUUGGAUUGGCAGAAUUGUUAGGGCAUCAGAAAAAGUGUAAUGCUGCAUUUUUACGUUCUGAAGUCUAAUCUCACCGCUCCCCCCUUCUCUCUCUCUCUCACUCACUCACUCACUCACACACAUACACACACACGCACACAGCUUUUAGUUGGAUAUUUGCUAAAUGGCCAAAGGAAAAUAAGGAAUCAAAUGCUAAAUUGUGUGUGUGUGUGUGUGUAUACACACACACCCAUACCCACAUCCAUAUAUACAUAUA